AAAAUUGCUAGUUCGCUAGAACUUACACUACAAAGCUUGUUGCGGUUAAAUCAUAAGAACUUCUGCUUCAAGUUUUGUUUUGUCACUCUUUGUUGAAACUUCUACUUUUGCUUCGGCAGUACUCAGCCUUUAAACCGUUGAGGUAAGGCUGCCAGAAGCCUUUAUGAAAACUAGUUGAUGAAAUGUCAUGCUGUCUGAUACUUUUUUAGUAUUUGAGAAAUCAAAUUACUUGUUA
rnacentral:misc_RNA from 1 species